AUAUAUAUAUGUGUCAAGUCCACGUGAUCCAAUGUCUCAUUCAGGGCCCUUGUUUCUUUCUUGAUCCUGUGUAUAGAUGAUUUAUCCAUUGUUGUAAGUGGGGUAAUAAAGUCCUCUGCAAUUACCACAUUCUUAUCAAUAAGGUUGCUUGUGUUUGUGAUUAAUUGUUUUAAAUAUUUUGGUCUCCCAUAUUCGGCACUUAGAAAUUUAUAAUUGUUAGCUCUUUCUGAUGGAUAGACCCUGUAAUUAUUACAUAAUGCCCUUCUCCAGCUCUUGUUACAGCCUUUAAUUUAAAGUCUAGUUAGUCUGAUAAAAGUAUGGCUACUAAGGCUUUAUUUGACUUCCAGUAGCAUGACAGAUAGUUCUCCAUCCCCUCACUUUCAAUCUGAAGGUGUCCUCAGGUCUAAAAUGAGUCUCUUGUAGACAGCAAAUAGAUGGGUGUUGUGUUUUUUAUCCAUUCUGGUACCCUAUGUCUUUUGGUGGGAGCAUUUAGUCCAUUUACAUUCAGUGUUAUAGAAAGAUAUGGGUUUAGAGUCAUUGUGAUGUCUGUAGGUUUCAUGCUUGUAGUGAUGUCUCUGGUACUUUGUCUCAUAGGAUUCCCCCUUAAGAUCUCUUGUAAGCCUGGUUUAGUGUUGAUGAAUUCCUUCAGUUUUUGUUUGGGAAGACCUUUAUCUCUCCUUCUAUUCUGAAUGACAGACUUCCUGGAUAAAGGAUUCAUGGCUGCAUAUUUUUUCUGUUCAUCACAUUGAAGAUUUCCUGCCAUUCUUUUCUGGCCUGCCAAGUUUCAGUAGAUAGAUCCGUCACUAGUCUUAUCGGUCUUCCUUUAUAUGUUAGGGCAUGCUUAUUCCUAGCUGCUUUCAGAAUUUUCUCUUUAUUCUUGUAUUUUGCCAGUUUCACUGUGAUAUGUCAUGCAGAAGAUCGAUUCAAGUUACGUCUGAAGGGAGUUCCUGUGCUUCUUGGAUUCCAUGCCUUUUUCCUUCCCCAGAUGGGGGAAGUUCUCAGAAUUUCUGAAUCCCAUUUGGCUUCAUACCUUGGCUUUUGAUUUUCAACUCAUGCUCAUUUAAAAGCUUGAUGAGUUACUUUGGACAUGCAUACCUGCCUUGAAUUUGGCACCUUCCUUCAGACCUGAUGUUCUGUAUUCUUACUUCAGAUCUACACACCAUAAUUGCAGGUGUUUCUGGCUACAGCUGCCAUUCAUCAGAUCCACCAAGGGGAGCAACGAGUGAGCAUACUUCUAUAUUCUAAAAACUGGCCUGGAACUGUCCACAACCCAAGGUCAUAAGAGCAUUUGGACACCAAGAAUUACUUCUGCAUACUGCCAUAAAUGCCAAUUCUCCAGUAACAUGUCGAGGAAGUAAGAAGGGAAAGACCCUAAUCAGUCCCAGUAUACACAUGCUAAUUUAGAAAAAAGAUACCUGGAACACAGGAGACAAGGGUGUGUUGUAGGACAAAAUGGAAAUUAUGUUAGGUACAGUGAAAAAUAUAUUUUAAUACAUAAGCUGGAAAGUAAAGAGAACCUGAAAAUACAGGUGGUAAUAUUGCAAAUUUCUGAAUAUGUCUAAAACACAGAAAUAUAUCUUAGGUGAUCUUCUGAAGACAGAAAGUAUUUUGAAUGAGUGGUGGAUUUUAAAUGAAACAAUUAAAUUCAUACUUAGUGGAAUCGUAGCUGUCAUGGACUGACUGGCAGCCUUUUUUUUAUCUCUUUAAUUCUCUUACUCCUUUUUUGUUCAAAAAGCAUUAAGCCUCUGUUAUGGACUAUUUUUCUAAUAAAAAAUGUAGUUCUAAGAAUAUCACUUCUACUUGGGAAGUGCUCAUAUAUAAGAGAUGGGCUUUUGGAGUGUCAGCCACUUCAAGGAUCACAUUUAUUUCAAGCAUUUGUUUUUCUUUAUAGGCUUUCAUGAGAGUGGACUCAUGUUAUAUUCUUAUAUGCUCUGAUAGCUGCUUUUUGAACUUUAAAAAACUGAGAUGCAUGAAAGACUUCAGAGGUGCUUUAUCACUUCCAACAGGAGAAAUAUCAAUGUACAAUUGCUAAAGAGAGCCAGAAUCGAACCAAGUUCUUUGAGAAUAAGAUUUCUCUCCCUGGGAUUAAACAUUAAAUGAAAGAUAUAUUUAAAAAUGUUGGAACUUUCCUUUUUCUGGAGAAUCAAGAUCCUUAUUUGAUAGUAGGAACAGAUUUGUACAGAAAUACAUUAUUUGAAAUAUGUUUGCUGUUAUCUGCUGCGGAGGUGGAUGCCAGAAGGGAGAUUCUUGGUAUCACAUCAGAAAACUUGAAGAUUAUAGAACACAUGGAAGAUUUGGUUGGAACAGUAUAACAGCAGGACUUUUUACUUAUACCCAAGGCACUCCAUUCUAUAACUAAAGAAGAGACCUGGGCUCCAACAAGGAAUUUUCAGUUUGAGCUCAGAACACUGAGAAGAUAAGGAGGGAGGAGAGAAGAAGGAUUUUUUUUGUAAAUAUUUUGAAGGUUUAAUUUAUUUUUGAAGAAGUGGUUGAAUUAAUAGUAGGGGCCUAGUAGUUUAAAUGUUAGAAAGUAGAGGAUAGUUGACAUUUUGUGUUGCUGUAAUAUUUUAUUUGGUUUUGAUAACACUCUUUUAUAGUAUAAAAUGCAUAACUUUUCUAGUGAGCUUUCCGGGGUGAGGGGUUGUAUUGUUAAAUGUGAAGGAGAAUACCAUUAGUGUUUAAUAUUUAUGUUACUAUAUUAUUUUAAGUAUAAUGAUACAGUUAUAUUCUGAAAAACACUCUUCUCUGAUGAGCUUUGUGGGAGGGAAAGAGCACAUAUAUGGUUAAAUGUGAGGGAAAUAUUUGUGUAAUUUUAGAGCAAUUCUAUUGUAUUAUUUGUAGAAUAAUUAUGCUUGUGCAAUGUAUAUCCUUGUCACUUAGAUUGGUAGAUUGAGAGGGGAUGUGUAUUUAGUACCUGUACCAGUAUCUAGUAGUAGAAAACAUUUGGUAAAUAUUUUUUGAUUGAAUUAAUGAUUAAUUAACUGUGAUUAUUUAUGUAGUAUUUCCUCAUUAUUCAGUAUUUCCUCAUAAAUGUCAGAUAAAAGUUAUAUUUAUUUUAUAAAUAAAAAAUAUUUAUCUAGCGUUUCCACCCAGAAAUCCCUGGGUGGGAAAAACAAACAUAACAAAAUGGCAAUCAGAAACCAUAAAUAAUCCUUACAUAUCUGAUUGAAAACAAUAUCCUCCCAUGUGCUGCAGAAUGAACAGGACCACUCAUCCCAACACCCUCCUUAGUAGUCAAGAUUCUAGAAGCACCAGCCUUUCAUUUUUCCUUAGGAAACAUGUAUAUUAAAUAUCUAUAUGAGAUAUCAACCCAUAUCCAUGGAAGGCCAGUUGGAGUUGGCGCUAUCAGUGGUAAGCAUCGGGAGGAUUUGGGUAUUUAAGAUCUUAACUUUAGAACCAUAGGACACAGAAAGACUUGAGGCUUAAAUAUAUUUUGGAACUGCACCACUUCUGGAAGAUGAGUCAUACUGAAGCUGCUGAAGCCAGAUAAUAGACAUAGGAUGACACUCUUUGGAUUGGACUGAGUGGAAGAAGUCAAUGAUAGUGUAGUGGCUAUUUUAAAGAAAAAAAUUUAAUGUUUAUUCGUUUUUGAGAGACAGAGAGAGACAGAGCAUGAGUGGGGGAGGGUCAGAGAGAGAGGGAGACAGAAUUCAAAGCAGGCUCCAGGCUCUGAGCUGUCAGAACAGAGCCUGACGCAGGGCUUGAACUCAUGAGCCCUGAGAUCAUGACCUGAGCCAAAGUUGCACGCUUAACCAACUGAGCCACCCAGGAGCCCCUGUAGUGGCUAUUUUAAACUGAUGACCUUAACUUCCUCUGGUUAACGACAUUCCUAAUCUACAUAGUUACAGAGGUGGGUUUCCAGUGGCCAUGUUUCAAUAUUUCACUAUUCUUAUGAUAAUAAUAAUCAAUACACUUUUCCUAUGAUCAUAGUUGAUUGGAUCAGGGAUGAGUAUCAGACUCAACCGAGCUGUUCAGAGUCCCUUUCCUACAAACUUAGACUUGCAAUGAGGGGAGAAAAUGUUUUCUGUGGCCAAGCUUACUAUUUGUGUAGCAAGUUUAAUUCUUAACUUCAUAGUAGAUGUGCAAGGAAUGCCACAUAAUUUUAUUUAAGCUUAACUAAACCUAACUCCAAACUUUAACCCCACUGAGCUACUGGGAAAUUAAAUGGAAGUCAUGUUUGAGGUCCUCCCCUUUCCAUAUGUCAUAGAAGAAUAUGAGAGUCUUAUGUGGCACUUCAACAAUGGAGGUUACCAAUGAAAGUUUCACUGUGCAUGCCUGUUUAUUACCUUUGAAAUAUGGCAGCUCCAUAGUUUAUGUGUCAACUAUGGGUGAAGAAAUUUUUUUACCAAACAGGAAAUUUUAUAUAGGUAUCUCCAGGUCUUGGUUCUAAGUUCUCUGAAGCAAGGAAGUACAAAAAGCCUGACUUUGUUUUUGUAAUGGGAUAGAAAAAAAUACAUGUAAGAAAAAUCCCUCAGAAGUCAAUGUCUCAGUAAAUUAUACUGCUACUCAAGUGAACUUAUGAACUGUUGAGUGGACAUAUUAUGGAUACCCAUAGGGUUGCCUUCCUAGAUUUUGGCAAUUCCUCCUUUUCUGGUUACUACUCUGUUUUAUUCUACAGAGCUGAGUCCAGAGCCACAGAGAUUGAACCUCACUCAAUGUGAAGGUCAUUUUCAUGUAUCAACAUGGCUGGGCUACAGUCCAUCAUUCAAUCAAACACUAAUAUUUUUGUUUUUGGGGAAAGUGUUUUUUUAGAUGUGAUUAAAGUAUAUAAUCAAAUACCUUUAAGGCGAUUAUCCUAGAUAAUACAGAUGGCUAUUAUCCAAUCAAUUGUAAGGUCAUAAGAGGAAAGUAGAACCUUUUCUAAAGAAGAAGAAUUCUGCCUAUGGAUAGAAGCUUCAGCUUGUGCUCAAGAGGUCUAGCUUGUACUUCCUGAUGACCUGCCCUAUGGAUUUUGGAUUUGUCUAGGCAACCCCCAAAUCACAUUACCCAAUUACUAAUAAAUCUCUCCUUACAUAUAUUACAUACACUAUUAUCUGUAAUAUCUAUAUAAUGUAUCUCUAGAUAUACUGAGUCCAUUCAGGCUGCUAUAACAAAGUACCAUAGGUUGGAUAGCUCAUAAACAAUAUAAAUUUAUUUCUCACAGUUCUGGAGGCUGGGGAGUCCAAGACCAAGGUGUAAGCAUGGUCAAGGGCUGGUGAAAGCCCUCUUUGGAUUGCAGACUACCAACUUAUUAUUGUAUCCUCAUGUGAUGGCAUGGAGCUAAGGAGCUGAUUGGGGUCUCCUUUAUGAGUACUAAUCAUAUUCAUGAAAACUUCACCCACAUGACCUAAACACCUCUCAAAGUACCCAUCUCCUAAUACCAUUACAUUGGGCAUUAGGAUUUCAAUAUAUGAAUUUUGGGUGGACACAAAUAUUCAUAUCAUAGCAUAUAAUAUGUAUAAUAUAUCUUUUAAUAUAUAACAGUAUUAUAUAAUCCUGUCUCCAUUCCUCCUAGUUAUAGAUAAUUGGUUUAGGGAUAAAUACACUUAAUCCAAACAGGAUUAAUCAGAUUCUCCCUUGUAAAGUCGUGUUUUUCAACUUAGACACAGAGAAACUAAAGGAUAACUACAUCAUUUUAAUAUUAAGACAUUUUAUGAGGCUCAAACAAUCCUAUUGCUGAGACCCCAAAGCUACUGUGACAUCUUGGAUUUUAUGACAUAAUCUAUUUUCAGCCUAAUAAAUUCUAUUUACUUUUUUUGGUUUAACAUAAAGUUGGUUUCUGAAUUUUGUAAUCUGACAAUUAUAAAUAGGGAUACAUGGGAGUACCUGGAUUAAAAGCCUAAAUGCAAGACCUGGAACCAUAAAGCUCCUAAAAGAAAUCAUAAACAGUGAUCCCUUGGACAUAGACUUAGAAACAUAUUCAUGGAGAUGUUUCCGCAGGCAAGGGAAACUAAGGAAAAAGUAAACUAUUGGGACUACAACAAAAUGAAAAGCUUUUACAGAGGAAUAAAAACAUUAACAAAACAAAAAGGAAGCCUAAUGAAUGGGAGAAGAUAUUUGCAAAUAUUACAUCUGAUAAGGGGUUACUAUACAAAAUAGAUAAAGAAUUUAUACAACUCGACACCCCGUUCCCCAAAUAAUCUGACAAAAAAAUGAGAAGACCUUCACGGACAUUGUUUUUAAGAAUUCUUACAGAUGGCAAACAGACUGAUGAAAAGAUGCUCAAAAUCACUAAUCAUCAGGGAAAAGCAAAUCAAAACCCAAUGAGAUAUCACCUUAAACCUUUCAGAAUGACUAGAAUCAAAAGGACAAAAAUAAGUGCUGGGAAAGAUAUGGAGAGAAAGAAACCUGCAUGCAUAGUUGGUAGUAAUGUAAAUUGGUGCAGCCAAUGUGGAAAUCAGUAUGGCACUUUCUCCAAAAAUUAAAAAUAGAAAUGCCAUGUGACCUAGUAAUUGCACUACUGGGUUUUUAUCCAAAGAAAAUGAAAACGCUAAUUCAAAAAAGAUAUAUGCAUAUCUAUGUUUAUCGAAGUAUUAUUUACAGUUGCCAUGAUGUGGAAGCAACCUGUUUAUCAAUAGGUGAAUGGAUAAAGAAGAUGUGGUGUAUGUAUAAAUGAACUAUUACUCAACCAUAAAAAAGAAUGAGGUCUUGCCAUUUGUAACAAUAUGGAUGGCCCAGAGGUUGUUGAGCUAAGUUAAAUAAGUCAUACA